rnacentral:Y_RNA from 1 species
AGCUGAUCCAAGUGCAAUGGUGUUUACAAUUAAUCUGUCAUAACCAGUUCUAAAUUUCUUUGUUCCCUUUUCACUCCCACAGCUUAACUUGACAAGCCUAAA